UACGGGGGGGGCAAGCGUUGUUCGGAAUUACUGGGCGUAAAGGGCUCGUAGGUGGCCAACUAAGUCAUACGUGAAAUCCCUCGGCUUAACCGGGGAACUGCGUCUGAUACUGGAUGGCUUGAGGUUGGGAGAGGGAUGCGGAAUUCCAGGUGUAGCGGUGAAAUGCGCAGAUAUCAGGAGGAACACCGGUGGCGAAGGCGGGUCUCUGGGCAGUAACUGACGCUGAGGUGCGAAAGCGUGGGGAGCAAACAGG
rnacentral:rRNA from 1 species